GAGGGUAUAGCUCAAGUGGUAGAGUGCAUGCUUAGCAUGCGUGAGGUCGUGGGUUUAAUCCCCAGUACUUCCU
rnacentral:tRNA from 1 species